GAUGAACGCUGACAGAAUGCUUAACACAUGCAAGUCGAUUCGAUUUACCUUCGGGUAUUGAGGAUGGCGGACGGGUGAGUAACGCGUAAGGAACUUGCCUCUUGGUCUGGGACAACUGUUGGAAACGACAGCUAAUACCGGAUAUUAUGAGAUUCUCGCAUGGGAAACUUAUGAAAGCUAUAUGCGCCAAGAGAGAGCCUUGCGUUCCAUUAGCUAGUUGGUGGGGUAACGGCCCACCAAGGCGACGAUGGAUAGCCGGCCUGAGAGGGUGAACGGCCACAAGGGGACUGAGACACGGCCCUUACUCCUACGGGAGGCAGCAGUGGGGAAUAUUGGACAAUGGGCCACAAGCCUGAUCCGGCAAUUCUGUGUGCACGAUGAAGGUCUUCGGAUUGUAAAGUGCUUUCAGUUGGGAAGAAGAAAGUGACGGUACCAACAGAAGAAGCGACGGCUAAAUACGUGCCAGCAGCCGCGGUAAUACGUAUGUCGCAAGCGUUAUCCGGAUUUAUUGGGCGUAAAGCGCGUCUAGGCGGAAAAAUAAGUCUGAUGUUAAAAUGCGGGGCUCAACUCCGUAUUGCGUUGGAAACUGUUUUUCUAGAGUACUGGAGAGGUGGGCGGAACUACAAGUGUAGAGGUGAAAUUCGUAGANAUUUGUAGGAAUGCCGAUGGAGAAGUCAGCUCACUGGACAGAUACUGACGCUAAAGCGCGAAAGCGUGGGGAGCAAACAGGAUUAGAUACCCUGGNAGUCCACG
rnacentral:rRNA from 1 species